AUUGAACGCUGGCGGCAGGCCUAACACAUGCAAGUCGAGCGGAUGACGGGGGCUUGCUCCUGGAUUCAGCGGCGGACGGGUGAGUAAUGCCUAGGAAUCUGCCUGGUAGUGGGGGACAACGUUUCGAAAGGAACGCUAAUACCGCAUACGUCCUACGGGAGAAAGCAGGGGACCUUCGGGCCUUGCGCUAUCAGAUGAGCCUAGGUCGGAUUAGCUAGUUGGUGAGGUAAUGGCUCACCAAGGCGACGAUCCGUAACUGGUCUGAGAGGAUGAUCAGUCACACUGGAACUGAGACACGGUCCAGACGCCUACGGGAGGCAGCAGUGGGGAAUAUUGGACAAUGGGCGAAAGCCUGAUCCAGCCAUGCCGCGUGUGUGAAGAAGGUCUUCGGAUUGUAAAGCACUUUAAGUUGGGAGGAAGGGCAGUAAGCGAAUACCUUGCUGUUUUGACGUUACCCGCAGAAGAAGCACCGGCUAACUCCGUGCCAGCAGCCGCAGUAA
rnacentral:rRNA from 1 species